GACGGAGGAUGCAAGUGUUAUCCGGAAUCACUGGGCGUAAAGCGUCUGUAGGUGGUUUAAUAAGUCAACUGUUAAAUCUUGAGGCUCAACCUCAAAAUCGCAGUCGAAACUAUUAGGCUAGAGUAUAGUAGGGGUAAAGGGAAUUCCAGUGGAGCGGUGAAAUGCGUAGAGAUUGGAAAGAACACCGAUGGCGAAGGCACUUUACUGGGCUAUUACUAACACUCAGAGACGAAAGCUAGGGUAGCAAAUGGG
rnacentral:rRNA from 1 species